GGGGAGCAAAAACCCAACACGGAUCAUUCCUUAGCUUGAUCUCCUGCACACUACAGAUACUUUGUUCUUCUGAAUAUGGCCAUCAAGCCCCCAGUACUUCUUCUGACAGAAUUUGGAUUGAAGACCAGUUACCUAACCUGAGGGCUAUUUCACAAACACAAGGAUCUGGGGGGCUCAGGCUCUGCGCUCUCUUUGCUCACAUCUUACCUGACAGACCGAACCUACAGGGUAAGUUGGAGAGGAUCUACCUCAGAACCUUGCCCACGCAAAACUGGGGUUCCUCAGGGAUCAGUAUUGGGCUAUCUCCUCUUUUCUCUGUACAGCAACUCUCUCAUGUUGCACGGCUUUUCUCAUCACACCUACGCAGAUGACACCCAACUAAUUCUCUCCUUUCCGGAGUCUGAAACUCAAGUAGCAGCACGUAUCUCGGCCUGUCUGACUGACAUUUCUUCCUGGAUGUCUACACACCAUCUGAAACUCAACCUUGACAAGACGGAGCUCCUUUUCCUUUUAGGAAAGGGCUCUCCUACCCAAGACCUGACUAUAACAAUUGACAACUCUGUGGUAGUCCCCACCCAGACUGCUAGAAACCUGGGUGUGACAACCAACUCUCUUUCACUGCCAACAUUGCUGCAACUACCCAAUCGUGUAGAUACAUGCCGCAUAACAUCAGAAGGAUAUGUCCACUUCUAACGCAGAAGGCGGCUAAGGUUCUGAAUUAGGUUUUAGUCAUCUCACAUCUAGACUACUGCAACUCCCUCCUGGUUGGCAUGCCUGGAUGUGCCACCCGGCCCCUGCAGCUCAUUCAGAACGCAGCAGCUCGACUUGUCUUCAACCUCCCCAAGUUCUCUCACACUACACUGCUCCUCUAGUCUAGAAAUCUAGACGC